GCCGGGCGUGGUGGCGCGCGCCUGUAGUCCCAGCUACUCGGGAGGUUGAGGUGGGAGGAUCGCUUGAGUCCAGGAGUUCUGGGCUGCAGUGCGCUAUGCCGAUCGGGUGUCCGCACUAAGUUCGGCAUCAAUAUGGUGACCUCCCGGGAGCGGGGGACCACCAGGUUGCCUAAGGAGGGGUGAACCGGCCCAGGUCGGAAACGGAGCAGGUCAAAACUCCCGUGCUGACCAGUAGUGGGAUCGCGCCUGUGAAUAGCCACUGUACUCCAGCCUGGGCAAUAUAGUGAGACCCCGUCUCU
rnacentral:SRP_RNA from 1 species